rnacentral:rRNA from 1 species
AUUGAACGCUGGCGGCAGGCUUAACACAUGCAAGUCGAGCGGGGGAAGGUAGCUUGCUACCGGACCUAGCGGCGGACGGGUGAGUAAUGCUUAGGAAUCUGCCUAUUAGUGGGGGACAACAUCUCGAAAGGGAUGCUAAUACCGCAUACGUCCUACGGGAGAAAGCAGGGGAUCUUCGGACCUUGCGCUAAUAGAUAAGCCUAAGUCGGAUUAGCUAGUUGGUGGGGUAAAGGCCUACCAAGGCGACGAUCUGUAGCGGGUCUGAGAGGAUGAUCGGCCGAACUGGGACUGAGCCACGGCCCAGACUCCUACGGGAGGCAGCAGUGGGGAAUAUUGGACAAUGGGGGGAACCCUGAUCCAGCCAUGCCGCGUGUGUGAAGAAGGCCUUAUGGUUGUAAAGCACUUUAAGCGAGGAGGAGGCUACUUUAGUUAAUACCUAGAGAUAGUGGACGUUACUCGCAGAAUAAGCACCGGCUAACUCUGUGCCAGCCGCCGCCGUAA